rnacentral:rRNA from 1 species
GGUGGUGAAUUUGAUCUAAAGGUAAAUUCUGCCAGAGACCGAUAGCGCACAAGUAGAGUGAUCGAAAGAUGAAAAGCACUUGAAAAGAGAGUCAAACAGUACGUGAAAUUGUUGAAAGGAAGCGCUUGCAAUCAGACUCGUCUGUAGAAGCUCAGCCAUUCUUCGGGAUGGUGUAUUCUUCUAUCGACGGGCCAGCAUCAAUUUCGACGGCUGGAUAAAGAUUUUGGGAACGUAGCUCUUUUAGAGAGUGUUAUAGCCCGGAAUGUAAUGCAGCAGUUGAGACCGAGGUCCGCGCUUUUGCUAGGA